CAAAAACAAAUCAUAAAAUGUCCACAGUGAAUAUAAAACUAAUUCAGUAUCUAACCUAAUUGAUGUGCAUAGUUAAGGCCUAAUUGUCACGAGUGCCUAAGAUUGAGAGUGCAUUAUAGCUGAUGAUUUAAGAAGUUUAUAGCUUUAACUAAUUUUCGGCGUUGGAUUGGCUGGAGGACUGAUUUUCUUUAUGGACCACUACUCCACGAGCAAUUAAA